GAUGAACGCUGGCGGCGUGCCUAAUACAUGCAAGUCGAGCGAACAGACGAGGAGCUUGCUCCUCUGACGUUAGCGGCGGACGGGUGAGUAACACGUGGAUAACCUACCUAUAAGACUGGGAUAACUUCGGGAAACCGGAGCUAAUACCGGAUAAUAUAUUGAACCGCAUGGUUCAAUAGUGAAAGACGGUUUUGCUGUCACUUAUAGAUGGAUCCGCGCCGCAUUAGCUAGUUGGUAAGGUAAAGGCUUACCAAGGCAACGAUGCGUAGCCGACCUGAGAGGGUGAUCGGCCACACUGGAACUGAGACACGGUCCAGACUCCUACGGGAGGCAGCAGUAGGGAAUCUUACGCAAUGGGCGAAAGCUUGACGGAGCAACGCCGCGUGAGUGAUGAAGGUCUUCGGAUCGUAAAACUCUGUUAUUAGGGAAGAACAAAUGUGUAAGUAACUAUGCACGUCUUGACGGUACCUAAUCAGAAAGCCACGGCUAACUACGUG
rnacentral:rRNA from 1 species